rnacentral:rRNA from 1 species
GAUGAACGCUGGCGGCGUGCCUAAUACAUGCAAGUCGAGCGAACAGACGAGGAGCUUGCUCCUCUGACGUUAGCGGCGGACGGGUGAGUAACACGUGGAUAACCUACCUAUAAGACUGGGAUAACUUCGGGAAACCGGAGCUAAUACCGGAUAAUAUAUUGAACCGCAUGGUUCAAUAGUGAAAGACGGUUUUGCUGUCACUUAUAGAUGGAUCCGCGCCGCAUUAGCUAGUUGGUAAGGUAACGGCUUACCAAGGCAACGAUGCGUAGCCGACCUGAGAGGGGGAUCGGCCACACUGGAACUGGAACACGGUCCAGACUCUUAAGGGAGGCGGCAGUAGGGAAUCUUCCGCAAUGGGCGAAAGCCUGACGGAGCAACGCCGCGUGAGUGAUGAAGGUCUUCGGAUCGUAAAACUCUGUUAUUAGGGAAGAACAAAUGUGUAAGUAACUAUGCACGUCUUGACGGUACCUAAUCAGAAAGCCACGGCUAACUACGUG